rnacentral:tRNA from 1 species
AAAUCAUUUUAAAAGGUGUCUUGAAAACACCUAUAAGAAAGAUGUUCUGAUGAUUUU